GGCUUUAUAGUCAAUAAUGAUAUUAGACUGCAAUUCUAAAGGAAUAAAUAAAUUAUUAAAGCUU
rnacentral:tRNA from 4 species